GAUGAACGCUGGCGGCGUGCCUAAUACAUGCAAGUCGAGCGAACAGACGAGGAGCUUGCUCCUCUGACGUUAGCGGCGGACGGGUGAGUAACACGUGGAUAACCUACCUAUAAGACUGGGAUAACUUCGGGAAACCGGAGCUAAUACCGGAUAAUAUAUUGAACCGCAUGGUUCAAUAGUGAAAGACGGUUUUGCUGUCACUUAUAGAUGGAUCCGCGCCGCAUUAGCUAAUUGGUAGGUAACGGCUUACCAAGGCGACGAUGCGUAGCCGACCUGAGAGGGUGAUCGGCCACACUGGAACUGAGACACGGUCCAGACUCCUACGGGAGGCAGCAGUAGGGAAUCUUCCGCAAUGGGCGAAAGCCUGACGGAGCAACGCCGCGUGAGUGAUGAAGGUCUUCGGAUCGUAAAACUCUGUUAUUAGGGAAGAACAAAUGUGUAAGUAACUAUGCACGUCUUGACGGUACCUAAUCAGAAAGCCACGGCUAACUACGUG
rnacentral:rRNA from 1 species